ensembl:lncRNA
UUUUUUUUUUUUUUUUUUUUUUUUUUUAAAUGCAUGGUAGCAUGCAUGUUUUACAUGUCCCCCCACUUCCCCUCCCUGGGUUUUUGUUGGCUUUGCAAAUUUUUAAUGGGUUAUGCCUGAAGAACAGUUUGGACAUGUACUGUAUGAAGUACAUUCAGUAAUGCUAGUACAUAGUAUUUAUUCAAUUUGGUCAAAAUCGCAUGUAAUAACUUGCUUUCAAAUGGCAUUGCUUUGGUAGCAAAUAUAAAAUUCCUUCUUAUCUAAUAACUGAAGUUAAUUAGUAAUAGUCACUAAAAACACUUUAAAACCAAAUUCUGGAAGGAAAAAAAAAAAAAAAACCAAAAAGAAAACCCAAGUGUUUAAAAUGUAGCAAGGUAGGAUAUUAUUUUGGACCCAAAUUUGCUUUAAUUUUGAGUGUGUUUGAACAUUAAGGAAGAGUUUCAGAGAAGUGACAUUAAAAAGUCUGUAGAAUAGAAAACAUGCUCAAAUAAUACUGUAGCAUAACAGCUAGAAUCUGAGUUUAACUAAACUUCUUAAAUUUCAGAAAGCCCCUUUAACCAAAUAAAAUGACUCCACCUCACCUUGGAUUAGCUUAGGAUGCCACUUUUGUACAUACGUAUUUUAAUAGGUAUUUGUACAGAUGUGAACUGAUCCGGUAUAACAGAAAGGAAAAUAAUUACAAUAAGGCGGAAAUCAACAGUACUGACAAAAUAGUCCUUUGUAUCAGUAAGUUCUCUCAUGGUAUAUUUUAAAGCAAAUGAACCAUAUUCCUAACACAUAAUAUAGCGCGGAGAUUUGCAGAAGCCAUUUAGGGUAUAAUGUGAGGUAAGAAAAGUUCUGAAUCAGCAUUAACGUUUAUAAUUCAAUUAUUGCAUCAUGGGAUAUAUAAAAAGCAUCUUAAUUCUUGUGGUGUGGUCUUGACAGUUCUUGAAUGUUGACUGAAUGUUUAUACUGAUAGAAUUGUGAGUUUGUCUUUGUUACAUUCCAGUGUUUCUGCCUCUUGGCAUGCUAAAAGCACGGCUUACUUCAUUUGCUCCUUACACACUGAAUAAAGUGCUGUUAGUGUGCUAAACUACAGAAAUAGCCGCUGCUAAGUAAUGGUGUAGAUUUUUUACUUGAAUAUUUUUGUUGUAGGAACCUCAGGAGGUCAGUGUUUACUGUUUUUAUAUAUGCCUUUUUCCUGUUUUAAGUUUCCCUUUUUGAAGGAUUCUGAGAGUGAACAAAAGCUGCUGAUCAACCUAAGUUGGUAACAGAAAGUAUAUUGAAAAUCCUUAUAAAUGCAUCUUUUUGGCAGUUCUAAAUUGCUGUUGAAUUAGUCUUAAGUGUGAAGUUCAAUACUAAAUUUUUUUCAUUACACAUUCAGGAAACAGCUCGUUUCAUUUAGGAGAAAAAUAUCAGAAUAGUUCAUUAUUUUAACCAGUGCAAGCAAAAAUAAUAAAUUUUGUAAAUUUUUUCCAAAGCUUGAUUAUUUUCUAAAUCAAUUAAUAUGUAUAUAUUUAAACUGUAAUAAGCUAAUUCUUAUGCUUUAGUUUAUUGCUCCUUAAAGCUUGUACUCAAAAGAUAACUUUUAGAAGAAUGGAUUUAAAAUUUAUAAUCAUUAUAAUUUUUAAAAGUUCUGAAGUAGCAUAAAUUUUGUAACUAACAAAGUGGGUACACACUGUGAUUUUUUUUUUUUUUUUUUUUUGGACUAUUAUGUUAGCAUCAAUCUUAAUUACUUAGACUGCAUAUAUUGUAUAAUAGUAAAGUGUAUAUUUUAAAACUUCAAGUGGCUUUCCUCAAGUGAAACUAAUUGCUUAGAAAUACUCAAAUACUAGCUUUAUCUCAGGUGAAUACUCUUGUACCCUUUUUUUUUUUCCUUUUUUUAGAACACAUGCUAAUAAAAAUGUGUCUUAAUUAUAUCAGUUCAUGUAUUUCAUUUAGACAGCUCCUCUGUCUUAAACUUACUCUAAAUUAACCUUCUACUGGGGACAAUAAUGACUUUUGCUUCACCUGUUUUAUUCAUAUUGAAUGUAUUAACAGAUAAGGUGCAAAACCAUUCUUCCCCUUAGGAGAAUGCAUCCAUAUUCAAAGAACUGAAAUACUUAUUGGAAAAUGCUUUAAAUGCAACAUUAUAUUGGAAAUGAUUUGUUUCUGAUUUUGUCAAGGGAAGAAGUUGCAACUUAACACUAACUGCUUCAAUACUGUCUUUUUCAUGGGGAUGAUAGAUGCAUAAAGCUUCUAUAUAGGGUCUAAAGAGUAAAUUUUUGUCUUAGAUAAAGGUUAAGCUCUACAGUGAAAUGGCAAAACAUCCUGCAGUUAUCUCAGAUGCUGGUGUAGUUUGCAUACAUAUUUGUUAUAUAUUAAUAAGUAUUUCCAGUAACCUCAUCUUGACUAAAUAAAGCUUGAUCAGUAGCUGUGUGUUUCACUCACCUAUGCAUUCUCCAGAAUGACUUGCAUCCAUCAGUCUUCUAGGUAUUCUUCUCCAAUAGAAAUUUUGUGAUGCAAGCUGAUGCUUGCUUUUUGCACUUAAUGGUUGGAGCAAGCCAGCUUUAGAUUAUUUUAAAUGGGACACUGAGGCGAGUACUCUUGUUGCUCGCCCUGUAGAGUAUAUUCUGCUAGUGUAUCCAGGAUACUUACUCACUUGAAUGUACUUAGAUGAGGGAAGUUUAAAAUGGCUCUACAAGAUGAAUCCCUAUGUGGCAUUGCAGUAUACUUAAAGUAAGCCAAAUCCACAUCUCAAAGAAUUCAGCACUUACAGUACAGUAUCAUUUUUCUAUAAGCUGCUUCUACUGUGCUACUUUUGCCUUGGGUAUCUAUUUCCUUAUCUUGGGUGAGCAACAAAAUUGAGAAGGCCCGGGUGUUUUUUGUGAGGACAGUGAUUAGGGAAAAAAAAAAGAUUGGUAUGAGCACGUUCAUUUGGCUGUUGAAAUCUCCAGUGUAAUAUUAUCUUUUUUUCAUGGGAAGAGAUAGGUAGUUAUGUUGUACAUUGUCUGACUUACUAAUACUAGACAUGUCUAAAAUUUCUAAUUGGAUGCAGUAUACAAAAUAGUUUAAAAUGAAAGGUGACUGGAUCUUUCUGCUGACAACUUAGGUUGUAUGAGUUUUGCUUGAAAGCUUUAAAUCUGAUGCGUCUGUAUCUGCCACAAUGUUGGAAUGUUUCCUUCAAACAUAUCCUCCUGCAACCUCUCAAACUGUACUAAAUUUGAGUGAUAUUUCUUGAAGUCUGCCUAUGUGCUAACAGUACUUCAUUUUAAAUAGAAUAUGGUUUUAAUUUUUGAUAAGCUGCUGAAUUUUAAAGAGUUUUUGGGGCCACCAAAUAUUUUGGAUCAUGCAGAGAAUAUAUAUUGUACUGUAGUAAUUUUGUAUUUACAUUUGUAUGAUGUGACAUAAUAGAUGUGAAUGUUAAUCACUGCUUGACUAUGUUAAUAAAGUUGUUUAAAUAUA